UACAGAGGGUGCAAGCGUUAAUCGGAAUUACUGGGCGUAAAGCGCGCGUAGGUGGCUAAGUAAGAUGGGUGUGAAAUCCCCGGGCUCAACCUGGGAACUGCUUUCGUAACUGCUUGGCUAGAGUACGGUAGAGGGUAGUGGAAUUUCAUGUGUAGCGGUGAAAUGCGUAGAUAUAUGAAGGAACACCAGUGGCGAAGGCGACUACCUGGACUGAUACUGACACUGAGGUGCGAAAGCGUGGGGAGCAAACAGG
rnacentral:rRNA from 1 species